AACGAACGCUGGCGGCAUGCCUAACACAUGCAAGUCGAACGAGAUCUUCGGGUCUAGUGGCGCACGGGUGCGUAACGCGUGGGAAGCUGGCAUUUGGUUCGGAAUAACAGUUGGAAACGACCGCUAACACCGGAUGAUGACGAAAGUCCAAAGAUUUAUCGCCUGAGGAUGAGCCCGCGUAGGAUUAGCUAGUUGGUGUGGUAAGAGCGCACCAAGGCGACGAUCCUUAGCUGGUCUGAGAGGAUGAUCAGCCACACUGGGACUGAGACACGGCGCAGACUCCUACGGGAGGCAGCAGUGGGAAAUAUUGGACGGUGGGCGCAAGCCUGAUCCAGCAAUGCCGCGUGAGUGAUGAAGGCCUUAGGGUUGUAAAGCUCUUUUACCCGGGAUGAUAAUGACAGUACCGGGAGAAUAAGCUCCGGCUAACUCCGUGCCAGCCGCCGCCGUAA
rnacentral:rRNA from 1 species